rnacentral:pre_miRNA from 1 species
UACAAUGUUUAACUCUUCAUUUUAUUUAAAAAUAUUUUAUGAUUAAUAAUUUUAUUUUUAUUAGAUGAUAAAAUAUGAAUAGUACUCUACAUGUGACUAAUUUUUUUAAAAUUUCUUGAAAAUUUUUUAAAUAAGACGGAUGGUUAAAUGCUCGACACAAAAACCGA